UUUAUUUUAGAUAAUUUUAUUUAUGCAUAUAUGUAGAUGUGCAACAAUACACAACAUUAUUUCAAUGCUCACUCUUAGAUAUAACAUAUCCGAAAUAUAUAAUAAUAGCAAUUAUUUCAUGAUAAUUGUAUUUUCUCUACAUUCAAAUUCUUAUUUACAUUUGUAACAUUUCAUGAAUACAGUGAGCCUACGUCAUAGGUGUCGUCUGUAAGGGGUGAAGAAGUUCAUAUAUCAUAGUAAUCUAAGCCCAUGAUAUGGAUUAAAAGAAAUAUAUAAAAGAAAUUUGUUUGUCAACAAAUGAUACAAAUUUAGAAAAGACUGACUUUUUAUUUUGAUUCAUAAAAUAUCUAAAUAUGUGGUGCCUAUUAUGAUACGUAUCGCAACAAAUCACUGUUAUACGGUAAUAUUUAAAUUAGCCAACAGUUCAAGAAACAAUCUCAGUCCAUAAGACUGCUAUGCACCAAAGUUAAGUAGUUCAUAGGUUCCAUAGUCGCACCGUGCUGUAAAUUCACUGGUGAUCUCCCUUAUGCCGGUUAAUUUGAAGUAACAAAGCAGUGGUAGUAGGGCCUAUUAUCUAAGUCGACUCAUACUAUUCACAUUUGAAACAAUUAGACCUAUAAUUGUAUUUAUAAUAUCCAACUUCAAGUCUGGCUUUUAAAUGCACAUUACGGCUGGGUAGUAAAUUGUUGACUUCCACGAAAACACAAUUUUAGCAACGACAGCGAAAAUGUAAAGCAAAAUAAUUAUUUACAAAAAUAUGAUAUUCGGAAACACACUGCACAGUGACUGCCAGUGCCCACAGACCUAUAUAUUACGAUGCAGUAUAUAUAGGUCAGUGAUACUGAUCUUAAAAUGUUAACAAAGAAGUGAAGCCAAAAGAAAAAGAGCAUACAUAAAAAAAAGGUAAAAAUUUUAAAUAUAUACUAAACUAAUACAGCUUUUUUCUUUAUAAUAAAAUGAAACAAUUUUAUAACAAUUUAGUUCUAGUUUCCUUUGUGCUAUUUCUUUGUUUCCAUUUAUAAGGUGUCUUCAUAUUUUCAUUUUUUUUUUUUUUUUUUG